rnacentral:rRNA from 1 species
CCUACGGGAGGCAGCAGUGGGGAAUAUUGCACAAUGGGGGAAACCCUGAUGCAGCGACGCCGCGUGAAGGAAGAAGGUCUUCGGAUCGUAAACUUCUAUCAGCAGGGAAGAAGGAAGUGACAGUACCUGAAUAAGAAGCCCCGGCUAACUACGUGCCAGCAGCCGCGGUAAUACGUAGGGGGCAAGCGUUAUCCGGAAUCACUGGGUGUAAAGGGUGCGAAGGCGGUAGGGCAAGUCAGUUGUGAAAGCCCGGAGCUCAACUGCGGGACUGCAUGUGAAACUGUUUUACUAGAGUGCAGGAGAGGAAAGCGGAAUUCCUAGUGUACCGGUGAAAUGCGUAGAUAUUAGGAAGAACACCAGUGGCGAAGGCGGCUUUCUGGACUGUAACUGACGCUGAGGCACGAAAGCGUGGGGAGCGAACAGGAUUAGAUACCCCAGUAGUC